UAUGACGGGUAUCCGGCCUGAGAGGGUGAACGGACACACUGGAACUGAGACACGGUCCAGACUCCUACGGGAGGCAGCAGUAGGGAAUAUUGCUCAAUGGGGGAAACCCUGAAGCAGCAACGCCGCGUGGAGGAUGAAGGUUUUAGGGUUGUAAACUCCUUUUGUGAGAGAAGAUUAUGACGGUACCUCACGAAUAAGCACCGGCUAACUCCGUGCCGGCAGCCGCGGUAAUACGGAGGGUGCGAGCGUUACUCGGAAUCACUGGGCGUAAAGAGCGCGUAGGCGGAAUAAUAAGUCAGAUGUGAAAUCCUAUAGCUUAACUAUAGAACAGCAUUUGAAACUGUUAUUCUAGAGUAUGGGAGAGGUAGGUGGAAU
rnacentral:rRNA from 1 species